UACGUAGGGUGCGAGCGUUGUCCGGAAUUACUGGGCGUAAAGGGCUCGUAGGCGGCCAACUAAGUCAGACGUGAAAUCCCUCGGCUUAACCGGGGAACUGCGUCUGAUACUGGAUGGCUUGAGUUUGGGAGAGGGAUGCGGAAUUCCAGGUGUAGCGGUGAAAUGCGUAGAUAUCUGGAGGAACACCGGGUGGCGAAGACGGCAUCCUGGACCAACACUGACGCUGAGUGAGCGAAAGCCAGGGGAGCAAACGGG
rnacentral:rRNA from 1 species